GCAGCCGCGGUAAUACGUAUGGUGCAAGCGUUAUCCGGAUUUACUGGGUGUAAAGGGUGCGUAGGCGGCAUGGCAAGUCAGAAGUGAAAGCCCGGGGCUCAACCCCGGUAGUGCUUUUGAAACUGCUGAGCUGGAGUACGGGAGAGGUAAGCGGAAUUCCUAGUGUAGCGGUGAAAUGCGUAGAUAUUAGGAGGAACACCAGUGGCGAAGGCGGCUUACUGGACCGUAACUGACGCUGAGGCACGAAAGCGUGGGGAGCAAACAGGAUUAGAUACCCC
rnacentral:rRNA from 1 species